CCUACGGGAGGCAGCAGUGGGGGAUAUUGCACAAUGGAGGAAACUCUGAUGCAGCGAAGCCGCGUGAGGGAAGACGGUCUUCGGAUUGUAAACCUCUGUCUUUGGGGAAGAAAAUGACGGUACCCAAAGAGGUAGCUCCGGCAAACUACGGGCCAGCAGCCGCGGUAAUACGCAGGGAGCGAGGGUUGUCCGGAAUUACUGGGUGAAAAGGGAGCGUAGGCGGGCGAGAAAGUUGAAUGUUAACUCUACCGGCUUAACUGGUAGCUGCGUUCAAAACUUCUUGUCUUGAGUGACGUAGAGGCAGGCGGAAUUCCUAGUGUAGCGGUGAAAUGCGUAGAUAUUAGGAGGAACACCAGUGGCGAAGGCGGCCUGCUGGACUGUAACUGACGCUGAGGCUCGAAAGCGUGGGGAGCAAACAGGAUUAGAUACCCGGGUAGUC
rnacentral:rRNA from 1 species